CCAGGUUGAUUCUGCCUGACGUAGACGCUAUUCCCUAAGAUUAACCCAUGCAUGUUUUUGACAUUUGAAAAAUGGACUGCUCAGUAAUACUCACUUUAUUUUAUGUACAUUUGAAAUUAACUACGUUAAAGUGUAGAUAAGAUGUGUACAGUAAGAGUAAGACCUAUCAGCUAGUUGUUAAGGUAAUGGCUUAACAAGGCAGUGACGGGUAACGGUAUUACUUUGUAAUAUUCCGGAGAAGGAGCCUGAGAGACGGCUACUAAGUCUAAGGAUUGCAGCAGGGGCGAAACUUGACCUAUGGAUUUUAUCUGAGGCAGUUAUGGGAAGUAAUAUUAUAUUGUUUCAUAUUUUAAAAGUAUAUGAGGUGAUUAAUUGGAGGGCAAAUCAAGUGCCAGCAGCCGCGGUAAUACUUGUUCCAAGAGUGUGUAUGAUGAUUGAUGCAGUUAAAAAGUCCGUAGUUUAUUUUUAAGAAGCAAUAUGAGGUGUACUGUAUAGUUGGGAGAGAGAUGAAAUGUGACGACCCUGACUGGACGAACA
rnacentral:rRNA from 1 species